rfam:Cephalotus follicularis DNA, scaffold: scaffold4172, isolate: St1.
UAUCAAUUAUGAACAAAACGAUGACGAUUCUGAUCAAUUUCCAUUCUUUAAAUUUUGAUGACAAUCGAGGCAUUUGUCUGAGAGAU